CCGAGUUUGAUCAUGGCUCAGGAUGAACGCUAGCGGCAGGCUUAACACAUGCAAGUCGAGGGGUAACAGGGAAGCUUGCUUCUGCUGACGACCGGCGCACGGGUGCGUAACGCGUAUGCAAUCUGCCUCAUACUGAGGGAUAGCCCAGAGAAAUUUGGAUUAAUACCUCAUAGUAUUAUGAUAAGGCAUCUUAUUAUAAUUAAAGGUUACGGUAUGAGAUGAGCAUGCGUCCUAUUAGCUAGUUGGUAUGGUAACGGCAUACCAAGGCAACGAUAGGUAGGGGCCCUGAGAGGGGGAUCCCCCACACUGGUACUGAGACACGGACCAGACUCCUACGGGAGGCAGCAGUAAGGAAUAUUGGUCAAUGGACGAAAGUCUGAACCAGCCAUGCCGCGUGCAGGAUGACUGCCCUAUGGGUUGUAAACUGCUUUUAUAUAGGAAGAAAAACUUUCUCGUGAGAAAGCUUGACGGUACUAUAAGAAUAAGGAUCGGCUAACUCCGUGCCAGCAGCCGCGGUAAUACGGAGGAUCCAAGCGUUAUCCGGAAUCAUUGGGUUUAAAGGGUCCGUAGGUGGACAAAUAAGUCAGAGGUGAAAUCCUGCAGCUCAACUGUAGAACUGCCUUUGAUACUGUUUGUCUUGAGUUAUUAUGAAGUGGUUAGAAUGUGUAGUGUAGCGGUGAAAUGCAUAGAUAUUACACAGAAUACCGAUUGCGAAGGCAGAUCACUAAUAAUCAACUGACACUGAUGGACGAAAGC
rnacentral:rRNA from 1 species